rnacentral:rRNA from 1 species
CACGUAGGGUGCGAGCGUUGUCCGGAAUUAUUGGGCGUAAAGAGCUCGUAGGCGGUGUGUCGCGUCGGCCGUGAAAACCUGCAGCUUAACUGUGGGCGUGCGGUCGAUACGGGCAUCACUGGAGUUCGGCAGGGGAGACUGGAAUUCCUGGUGUAGCGGUGGAAUGCGCAGAUAUCGGGAGGAACACCGGUGGCGAAGGCGGGUCUCUGGGCCGAUACUGACGCUGAGGAGCGAAAGCGUGGGGAGCAAACAGG